GCUGGGGAGCAGAGAGGACCAGGCUGCCUGGGAGAGCAAGCAGGGUACCUGAGACAGAGCAGGGCUGGGGAAGGGCAGGCAGAGCUGAGGAGCCCUGGCCUGAAUGACUCUAUUGCCGUUACUGGACCUGAUUCUGAUUGGUGCUGAGGACCUACAACACCCUUUGAAAUACAAGGCCGGAUCUUAACAGGCGGUUCAGCUAACUGCUGAUAACAGUGAUAUUUCAGUGGUAUCUGGGAGUAACUGGUCAGAAAAAAAACAUCAACACACAAGAGACAUCUUUUUCCUGAUGGCUUCUCCUGAGCUAAGCACUGAAGCCUCGUCAUCACUCAUCACUGCAGCCAUCCAACCUCCUCCGCUUUGCCUCCCCGGUACCAACCUUGGGCAUUC